AUUGAACGCUGGCGGCAGGCCUAACACAUGCAAGUCGAACGAGUGGCGGACGGGUGAGUAAUGUCUGGGAAACUGCCUGAUGGAGGGGGAUAACUACUGGAAACGGUAGCUAAUACCGCAUACCAUCAGAUGUGCCCAGAUGGGAUUAGCUAGUAGGUGGGGUAAAGGCUCACCUAGGCGACGAUCCCUAGCUGGUCUGAGAGGAUGACCAGUCACACUGGAACUGAGACACGGUCCAAACUCAUACGGGAGGGAGCAGGGGGGAAUAAUGCACAAGGGGAACAAUCCUUAUGCCAGGAGGUCGCGUGUAUGAAGAAGGCCUUAGGGUUGUAAAGUACUUUCAGCGGGGAGGCGUUACCCGCAGAAGAAGCACCGGCUAACUCCGUGCCAGCCGCCGCGGUAAUUC
rnacentral:rRNA from 1 species